GUUUGACUCCUGUCACUGCCAGGCCUUCCCCAGAAGCUGCACCGUUUCAUGUCCCCACUGGCUGUGUGGGAGAGGAUUCUGGCUUCUCCACAUCCUAGCCAACACUUGUCAUUAUCUUUUUUUUUAAAUUAAUUAAUUUGUUUGUUUGUUUUUGGCUGCAUUGGGUCUUUGUUGCUGCACAAGGGCUUUCUCUAGUUGCAGUGAGCGAGGGCCACUCCUCGCCGCAAUCACAGGCUUCUCAUUGCGGUGGCUUCUCUUGUUGUGGAGCACGGGCUCCAGGCGUGCAGGUUUCAGUAGUUGUGGUGCACGGGCCCAGCUGCUCCGCGGCAUGUGGGAUCCUCCCGGACCAGGGCUUGAACCCAUGUCCCCUGCAUUGGCAGGUGGAUUCUUAACCACUGCACCACCAGGGAAAUCUCUUGUCUUUUUUAGUGUAGCCUUCCUAGUGGGUGUGAAGUGGUACCUAACUGCGUUUAUAGUCUGCGUUUCCCUGGUGACUAAUGAUGUUCACGUGGGUUAUUAGCCAUUCUUACGUCAUCUUUGGUAAUUGUCUAUUCAAAUCUUCCGCUCACUUAAAAAUAUAAUUGUUUUAUUAUUGAGUUAUAAAAGUUCUUUUAACGCAACAUUGUAAAUCAACUGUAUGUCAAUAAAAAAUUUUUAAGUUCUUUAUAUGUUCCAGGUACAAGUCUUUCAUCACAUAUGUGAUUUGUGAAUAUUUGUGACCCAUCUGGGGCUUGUCUUUUUAUUUUCUAUAGUGUGUCUCAUGGGUUGUGCUUUUGGUGUCUAAGAACUCUCUGCCUAAUGUAAGGUCAUGAAGAUUUUCUCCUGUUUUUUCUUUGAGAAGCUUUGGAGUUCUCACUCUGCCGUUUAGGUCUGUGAUCCAUUUCGAGGUUGUUUUUUUGUGUAGAGUGUUUGGUGGAAGCAAGUGGCAGGAUUUCUAGAAAUGGUCACACAUGCCUCCCUCCCAGCAGGACCGUCUCAGAGGCACAAGGGCACCUCCCUGCUCUCGGCACUGAUGCUGCAGAGCUCCCAUGAGUCUGGGGGUGGGAGGGGUGCAUGUCGACAGUGUCGGGAACGUGGUCCUUCCCCCACUGAGUGGCCUGGCGCCUUUGCUGAAACGCAUUCAACCAUCAGUUGUGUUCUGUCCUUCUGCGUCCUUACACCAGUGCCGCAUCGUCUUGAUUUCCACAGCUCCACAGACGGAAGUCUUCCAACUCUAUUCCUUUAUUUCUCCUCAACAUUGUUUUGGCUCUUUGGGUCCUUGGCAUUUUUAUAAAAUUUUAGGAGCAGCUUGUCAAUUUCUGUAAAAAAGGCUUCUUGGGUUUUAACAGAAAUUGUGUAGAAUCUAUAAAUUAGUUUGGGUAGAGUUGCAUCAUAACAGUAUCCAACCUUGCAUUCCCCGUGUAGGGAGUUUUACAGUGUUUUACAGUGUUCAGUGGGCAAGUCCUGCACUUCUUUUGUUAAAUUUAUUCCAAAAUGUUCUCUUUUUUUUUUAUGAGUACUUUUAUCUAAGCAUAUUUUUUAAUUUUAUUGAAGUAUAGUUGAUUUACAGUGUUGUGUUAAUUUCUGCUUUGCAGCAAAAUGAGUCAGUUGUGCAUAUAUAUAUUCUUUUUCAUAUUCUUUCCAUUAUGGUUUAUCCCAGGAUAUUGAAUAUAGUUCCCUGUACUAUGCAGUAGGACCUUGUUGUUUAUCCAUCCUAUACAUAAUAGUUUGUGUCUGCUAACCCCAAACUCCCAAUCCACCCCUCCCCCACCACUGAAUAUUCUCUUUGAUGCUCUUGUGAUAGGAAUUGUUGUGUGAAUUUAAUUUUCAAGUCCCCUUUGGUAGUUUAUAGAAACACUGCUUGUUAUUAUAUGGACCUUUUAAAUUGUGGCCUUGAACUCAUUAACUAGACUAGUAGGGGUGUAUGUGUGUAUUUAGAAUUUCCUACCUACAGAAUCAUGCAAUAUGCAAAAAAAAACGAGAGAGAGACGGUUUUACUUCUUCCUUCCCUUUUAUUUCUUUUUCUUGCCUGAUUUCAUUGCUCGAAUCUCCAGUACAAUGUCGAACAGAUGAGGUGAGAGCAGGUAUCUUCCUCCUAAUCUUGGGAAUAAAACAUUACAUGUUUCAGCAGUAGGUGUGCUAAUAGCUGUAGGCUUUUUGUAGAUGCCCUUUAUCUGUUUGGGUUUUUAUAAUGAAAAGGUGUUGGGUUUUGUCAAAUGCUUUUUCUCUGUCAGACAACUGUGUGGUUUUUGUCCUUUAUUCUGUGAACCUGGCAUAUCACCUUGAUUUUCAGAUGUUAAAUCAACCUUGCGUUCCUGAGGUAUAACCCACUAGAUCAUGUCGUACCAUCACUUCUUCAGGUUGCUGGGUCCAGUUUGCUAGUUUGUGUCUGUAUUAGUGAGGGAUAUUGAACAUAGCUUUCCCUCCCUCCCUUUCUUCCCUUUCUUUCCUUCUUUCAUUCUUUCUUUUUUUAGAUUAUUAGCCCCAUUUUAUUUUUGUGGCCAUGCCACACGGCUUGUGGGAUCUUAGUUCCAUGACCAGGGAUCGAACCCAUGCCCCCUGCAGUAGAAGCAUGGAGUUCUAACCUCUGGGCCUUCAGUGAAUUCCCAAACACAGCUUUCUUUUCUGGUGAUGACUUUGUCCUCAUAGACGUGGAGAGAGCAAGGGCCCUCUCUCGUCUCUCUUGAUGGUGGGUGAAG